GAAGGAAAGCAGCUAGCUGCACAGGAGAAAGGAGGAGUUGGUUGCUCAGUGCCUAGCCUAGUAUUACCCACUGCAGAAGGGGCAGGGAGGGGGAAAGCAAUCGCUUGUGAAAAUGAAUGUAGUCUUUGCAGUGAAGCAAUAUGUGUCCAAGAUGAUUGAAGACAGCGGGCCUGGGAUGAAGGUCCUCCUGAUGGAUAAAGAAACGACCAGUAUCGUGAGCAUGGUGUAUACACAGUCAGAAAUCCUUCAGAAGGAAGUUUACCUCUUUGAGCGUAUCGAUUCUUUGAACAGAGAGACUAUGAAACACUUGAAAGCAAUCUGUUUUUUGCGACCGACAAAGGAGAAUGUGGAAUACCUCAUUCAGGAGCUGCGGAGGCCCAAGUACAGCAUCUAUUAUAUUUAUUUCAGUAAUGUGAUCAGUAAGAGUGAUGUAAAGUCACUGGCUGAGGCUGACGAGCAGGAAGUUGUGGCAGAAGUUCAGGAGUUCUAUGGAGAUUACAUUGCCGUGAAUCCACACGUGUUUUCCCUCAACCUCCUGGGCUGCUGCCAGGGUCGCAGCUGGGAUCUGGCCCAGCUGUCCAGAACAGCCCAAGGGCUGACUGCUUUGCUUCUGUCUCUGAAGAAGUGCCCCAUGAUUCGUUACCAGCUCUCCUCUGAUCCUGCAAAGAGACUCGCUGAAUGUGUCAAGCAAGUGAUUACUAAAGAAUACGAGCUGUUUGAUUUCCGGCGCACUGAAGUUCCUCCAUUACUGCUUAUUCUGGACCGCUCCGAUGAUGCCAUCACCCCACUUCUGAACCAGUGGACGUACCAGGCCAUGGUCCAUGAACUGCUGGGGAUUAACAACAACCGAAUUGACCUCUCUCGAGUACCCGGCAUCAGCAAGGAUCUCAGGGAGGUGGUUCUGUCUGCUGAGAACGACGAGUUUUAUGCCAACAACAUGUACCUGAACUUUGCAGAGAUUGGGAGCAAUAUCAAGAACCUAAUGGAGGAUUUCCAGCGGAGGAAACCGAAGGAGCAGCAGAAGCUGGAGUCCAUAGCUGACAUGAAGGCAUUUGUGGAGAACUACCCGCAGUUCAAGAAGAUGUCGGGCACGGUAUCGAAGCACGUGACUGUGGUGGGGGAGCUCUCCCGGCUGGCCAGUGAGCGGAACCUGCUGGAGGUGUCGGAGGUCGAGCAGGAACUGGCCUGCCAGAAUGACCACUCCAGUGCUCACCAGAACGUGCGGCGGCUCCUGCAGAACCCCAAGGUGACAGAGUUCGAUGCCACGCGGCUGGUGAUGCUCUACGCCCUGCACUAUGAGCGACACAGCAGCAACAGCCUGCCCGGGCUGAUGAUGGACCUCAAGAACAAAGGGGUUUCCGAGAAGUAUCGGAAGCUGGUGUCAGCGGUUGUGGAAUACGGUGGGAAGCGGGUCCGGGGCAGCGAUCUCUUCAGCCCCAAGGAUGCCGUCGCCAUUACCAAGCAGUUCCUCAAAGGCCUGAAGGGCGUUGAGAACGUGUAUACGCAGCAUCAGCCCUUCCUGCAUGAGACUCUAGAUCAGCUCAUCAAAGGAAAACUUAAGGAUGGCCAGUACCCCUACCUGGGUCCCAGCACGCUCCGGGACAGGCCUCAAGAUAUUAUUGUGUUUAUCAUUGGAGGAGCAACCUAUGAAGAGGCGUUAACUGUGUAUAACCUUAACCGCACCACCCCUGGGGUCCGGAUCGUAUUGGGAGGGACCACCAUCCACAACACAAAAAGGCCCCGCACGAGUAGCAAGCCCAGACCUGGGUGCACUCUGCAGUGAAGAUGACAAGCCUUGAGCAUCUGUCAACACCCACCCCUUCUCCCCCAUCCGCCCGCUGACCCAGCUCAUCUAUGCCUCCCCCUUGGAGAGGAAGCGGCACGUCUGAAGGAAACCUGCUAGUGAGCUUCCUCGAGGAAAUUUCAGCUUCCGGGUUCCGCGGCCGGGGCGCCGAGAGCUCUCAAGUUACAGUGAGAGCGAGCAGCAGGCGGUGAACACUGGGGGACGCCGCCGCUUCCCAUCUGGAGCUCCUACAGGCUGACCAGACGGCGUCGAAGCGGCGUCGAAGCGGCGCCGGGCGCUCCCGCGGUCCAUCUUGCCAUCCUGCUGCUAAGCAACACACAAGCUGGCCUCUGCCUCAACAGGCCAGGCCGGGCCCGAAAUCCCAGCAUCCUUGGCGUUACCUUCCUGCAUGGCUCUUUAACGGGACGCAGCAGAAGAACUGCAGGGAGGUGGCGGAAUCACAGAUCCUGGGAAAACGUUACCUUUGGGUGCCCGGCGCCUUUGAAAAUCCAGCUAUUUCUGUGUCUCUUCAUAACCACAACUGGCCUGCCCAGAAUCUCCAGUUGCCUGCGUGUGUUGAUCUCUCCAAGGUAAAGGCUGGAUGGGCUCUCGCAGCCUCUGGCUCUAUUUGUUUAAUUGUCUGCAGCCCAGCUCCUCACCGAUAACUUUCAGGGUCUAGGACUGUAUGUUUGGAAGUUCAUUAAACAUCCCACUGUGACCAACUCUUAUAUUUUAAAUGAUUCCAGAUAUUUGUCCCCCUCCUUUUUAUAAUGUCCAUGAAACUAGCUAUAUUCCUGACUGGCCCCAUUCUUGAGCCCCUGCGUCCAUGGGGGACAGAGCAGCACGGGCCCCUGUACUCCUUCCCCCCUUUCUGUUCCCGUGUUGUGAUCGGGAAAAGUUCGUGUGACGCUAAUAAAAAUAAAAUUCAGUUUUCUGGCAGAAACAACA